AUACGUAGGGGGCGAGCGUUAUCCGGAAUUACUGGGUGUAAAGGGUGCGUAGGCGGUAUGGCAAGUCAGUUGUGAAACCCCCUGGCUCAACCAGGGGCUUGCAAUUGAAACUGUCAUACUAGAGUGCAGGAGAGGAAAGCGGAAUUCCUAGUGUAGCGGUGAAAUGCGUAGAUAUUAGGAAGAACACCAGUGGCGAAGGCGGCUUUCUGGACUGUAACAGACGCUGAGGCACGAAAGCGUGGGGAGCGAACAGGAUUAGAUACCCUGGUAGUCCACGCCGUAAACGAUGAGUGCUAGGUGUUGGGGUCUAAUUAGAUCUCGGUGCUGAAGUUAACGCAUUAAGCACUCCACCUGGGGAGUACGAUCGCAAGAUUGAA
rnacentral:rRNA from 1 species